AUUGAACGCUGGCGGCAGGCCUAACACAUGCAAGUCGAACGGUAACAGGAAGCAGCUUGCUGCUUCGCUGACGAGUGGCGGACGGGUGAGUAAUGUCUGGGAAGCUGCCUGAUGGAGGGGAUAACUACUGGAAACGGUAGCUAAUACCGCAUAAUGUCGCAAGACCAAAAGAGGGGGACCUUCGGGCCUCUUGCCAUCGGAUGUGCCCAGAUGGGAUUAGCUUGUUGGUGGGGUAACGGCUCACCAAGGCGACGAUCCCUAGCUGGUCUGAGAGGAUGACCAGCCACACUGGAACUGAGACACGGUCCAGACUCCUACGGGAGGCAGCAGUGGGGAAUAUUGCACAAUGGGCGCAAGCCUUGAUGCAGCCAUGCCCGCGUGUAAUGAAGAAGGCCUUGGUUGUAAAGUACUUUCAGCGGGA
rnacentral:rRNA from 1 species